rnacentral:rRNA from 1 species
GACGAACGCUGGCGGCGUGCUUAACACAUGCAAGUCGAACGGAAAGGCCCUGCUUUUGUGGGGUGCUCGAGUGGCGAACGGGUGAGUAACACGUGAGUAACCUGCCCUUGACUUUGGGAUAACUUCAGGAAACUGGGGCUAAUACCGGAUAGGAGCUCCUGCUGCAUGGUGGGGGUUGGAAAGUUUCGGCGGUUGGGGAUGGACUCGCGGCUUAUCAGCUUGUUGGUGGGGUAGUGGCUUACCAAGGGUUUGACGGGUAGCCGGCCUGAGAGGGUGACCGGCCACAUGGGGACUGAGAUACGGCCCAGACUCCUACGGGAGGCAGCAGUGGGGAAUAUUGCACAAUGGGCGGAAGCCUGAGGCAGCAACGCCGCGUGCGGGAUGACGGCCUUCGGGUUGUAAACCGCUUUCGCCUGUGACGAAGCGUGAGUGACGGUAAUGGGUAAAGAAGCACCGGCUAACUACGUG